rnacentral:rRNA from 1 species
UGGUCUUGACAUCCACAGAACUUACCAGAGAUGGAUUGGUGCCUUCGGGAACUGUGAGACAGGUGCUGCAUGGCUGUCGUCAGCUCGUGUUGUGAAAUGUUGGGUUAAGUCCCGCAACGAGCGCAACCCUUAUCCUUUGUUGCCAGCGGUUAGGCCGGGAACUCAAAGGAGACUGCCAGUGAUAAACUGGAGGAAGGUGGGGAUGACGUCAAGUCAUCAUGGCCCUUACGACCAGGGCUACACACGUGCUACAAUGGCAUAUACAAAGAGAAGCGACCUCGCGAGAGCAAGCGGACCUCAUAAAGUUUGUCGUAGUCCGGAUUGGAGUCUGCAACUCGACUCCAUGAAGUCGGAAUCGCUAGUAAUCGUA